rnacentral:rRNA from 1 species
CGGAGGAUCCGAGCGUUAUCCGGAUUUAUUGGGUUUAAAGGGUGCGUAGGCGGGAUAGUAAGUCAGUGGUGGAAGCCCGCAGCUCAACUGCGGAACUGCCAUUGAUACUGCUAACCUUGAGUAUGUAUGAUGUGGGCGGAAUGUGCAGUGUAGCGGUGAAAUGCUUAGAUAUUGCACAGAACACCGAUUGCGAAGGCAGCUCACAAAACCAUAACUGACGCUGAGGCACGAAAGUGUGGGGAUCAAACAGGAUUAGAUACCCUGGUAGUCCACGCCUUAAACGUUGAAUACUCGAUGUGUGCGAUAUACUGUACGCGUCCAAGCGAAAGUGAUAAGUAUUCCACCUGGGGAGCACGCUCGCAAGAGUG